CAAUCCUUUAUUUACAUUUUUCUCCUAUUUCUCUCUUAUUUCUUAUAGCAGUUGUUUGUCUUCUAAGAUGAGCGAUCCUAAGUAUGGGUAUCCUUAUCCUGCCCAAGGAUAUUAUCAAGGUCCUCCAGUCAUGGCGCCGCCUCAGUAUUCUGCAGCCCCGCCUCGAAGAGAAGUUGGUUUUCUUGAAGGAUGUCUUGCUGCUCUUUGCUGUUGUUUUCUUCUUGAUGAGUGCUGCUGUGAUCCAUCGGUCGUCUUUGUCACUUAAUGGGUAUUAGUAAAGUUAUUCUAUUCAAAGCUUUUUUAUUGUUUAAUGUCAACUAUGACAUAUGGGGUUAGCCAAAGGAGGUGUAUUAGUUGAGAGAGAGAGAGAGAUUUUGUAAAAUAUUGUAUUUGCA